rnacentral:rRNA from 1 species
AGCUCCAAUAGCGUAUAUUAAAGUUGUUGCAGUUAAAAAGCUCGUAGUUGGAUUUCUGGUGGGAGCGAUCGGUCCGACGCUUAGCGUGGGUACUUGCAUUGUCUCCGGCCAUCCUUGGGGAGAGUUUGUCUGGCAUUAAGUUGUCGGGCAGAGGAUCCUCAUCGUUUACUGUGAAAAAAUUAGAGUGUUCAAAGCAGGCUUAUGCCGUUGAAUAUAUUAGCAUGGAAUAAUAAGAUAGGACUUUGGUACUAUUUUGUUGGUUUGCGCACCAAAGUAAUGAUUAAUAGGGACAGUUGGGGGUAUUCGUAUUCCGUUGUCAGAGGUGAAAUUCUUGGAUUUACGGAAGACGAACUACUGCGAAAGCAUUUACCAAGGAUGUUUUCAUUAAUCAAGAACGAAA